rnacentral:rRNA from 1 species
AGAGUUUGAUCCUGGCUCAGGAUGAACGCUGGCGGCGUGCCUAACACAUGCAAGUCGAACGAAGCACCUUUGCUGAUUCCCUUCGGGGGAGAUGCGGUGUGACUGAGUGGCGGACGGGUGAGUAACGCGUGGGCAACCUGCCCUGUACAGGGGGAUAACAGCCGGAAACGGCUGCUAAUACCGCAUAAGCGCACAGCGCCGCAUGGCGCGGUGUGAAAAACUCCGGUGGUACAGGAUGGGCCCGCGUCUGAUUAGCUUGUUGGCGGGGCAGCGGCCCACCAAGGCGACGAUCAGUAGCCGGCCUGAGAGGGCGACCGGCCACAUUGGGACUGAGACACGGCCCAGACUCCUGCGGGAGGCAGCAGUGGGGAAUAUUGCACAAUGGGGGGAACCCUGAUGCAGCGACGCCGCGUGAGCGAAGAAGUAUUUCGGUAUGUAAAGCUCUAUCAGCAGGGAAGAAAAUGAUGGUACCUGAGUAAGAAGCUCCGGCUAAAUACGUGCCAGCAGCCGCGGUAAUACGUAUGGAGCAAGCGUUAUCCGGAUUUACUGGGUGUAAAGGGAGCGCAGGCGGCGCGGCAAGUCUGAUGUGAAAACCCGGGGCCCAACCCCGGGACUGCAUUGGAAACUGCCGAGCUAGAGUGUCGGAGGGGUAAGUGGAAUUCCUAGUGUAGCGGUGAAAUGCGUAGAUAUAGGAGGAACACCGGUGGCGAAGGCGGCUUACUGGACGACAACUGACGCUGAGGCUCGAAAGCGUGGGAGCAAACAGGAUUAGAUACCCUGGUAGUCCACGCGUAACGAUG